GCACUGCUGAGGAAUCCAAUAAUAGGACGAAACAGCUGUCCAGUGC
rfam:Schistosoma mansoni strain Puerto Rico chromosome 4, complete genome